UUAUGUAAUUUUUUUUUUCAAUAGUGACAUGCAAAACGUAGUAAAUUAUUAGUAUGUGACUCGCAAGUGUGAUACGGCUGAAGUUUUAUCCUCGGAAAAGAAUUAAGAACGACCCGAAAGCCACGUUUUAGACUGCAAUAUGCAAACAUGGCUGCCAACGCCAUUGUUGCUCGAAGUAACAUAGGGAAACUUCCCGGCUGUGCCGGAUGUUGCGAAUCAAGAGAAAAUAAUUGCACUGAAUGCUCCUCGAAUGUCGAAAAUGUGUAAAAUCAGAAUGACUGUAAUUUGUCGAUAAAAAUGUAAAAACUGUGUCUUAUUUCAAUAAAUUAAGACAAUCAGUGGUGUGAAAAAGUAGUUGCAACCUGGGACAACGAUCAACAACUGUGUUUCAACAUGAAAAAAACUAACAGACCUAGUUUGUUACAUUGAUUUUAUUGAAAAGACUGACUAGCACAAAAUCUAGCAGCCGACAUUAUGUUAAAAUGUCCGCACCAACAAUUAUUCACAUUCAACCUGGUAGGAGAUUUACGGCAGGCACAAACGAACCGUUCAAGCCGAACGGCCAGACAGUGCAACCAACCAGCUUCCAUAUCAUUGCGGUCUCGGAUGUGCUGAGGAUGAUGGUUUCCAACAGUCGGUAAUACGUCUAGAUUUAAGUUUUUUUUUGAGUUCUACUUUUAACAAGUGCAGUUUUUAACUGAGACCACCAUAUUGGUAAUUGUUAGUUCGCACACAAAUAACUUGAUUGUUCGACAAAUUUUCAAAAUUGAAAGGCAAAAUUUGCGGAUGACUUAGAAGUAGAAGUUUAUUGAUCAUGUUCUAAGCUAGAUAUAAUUAUCAUGCGUUCGUUCGAUUGUUUACCAUAGUUACUCCUAAUUUGUCUCAUAAACUACAAUUUUUCCUUAAGAAGGAUUAGGCAUUGCGGAAUACUCAAGUACUACAGUUGAAAUUUUACCAGACUUUUGGUAAUACUUUAGUAAUAACAUGACUAAACGCUUGUAAACAGAUUUCUUCGGAUGAAUUUAUGGAUACGAAUUAUUACGGAACAUUUAAAUGUUGCUUUAUUGUGUUUGAAUAGCCAGCAACUAAAAAUUCUCUUUAUAUUCUUUUCCAAACUCAUACACGAGUUAACUAAUGCAUUGAAAUACGCAUUCUGAAUUUCAGUUCAAAGCUUUAUGAUCAUGCAUUCCUGCGAAUCAUUCGGAUUUGAGUAUGUCAGUGUUGAAGUGCCACCAUCAAAGUACGAAUAAUUAGUCAACUGCGUUAAACUUUGCUAAAACGAAGAGCAACUGCUUUUCGAUACGUGAUAUUAUCACUACGGAAUAUUAUUUUUACGAACCAGUACAGCAGAUAUUUAUCAAGCAAAUUAUCCGGUUCGAAGGGCCAUGUUUGGUGUUUGAUCCUGUUACGAAUAGUGUGUU